UACGUAGGGUGCAAGCGUUAAUCGGAAUUACUGGGCGUAAAGCGUGCGCAGGCGGUUUUGUAAGUCGGGUGUGAAAUCUCGGAGCUUAACUUCGAAACUGCAUUCGAUACUGCCGUGCUUGAGGACUGGAGAGGAGACUGGAAUUUACGGUGUAGCGGUGAAAUGCGUAGAUAUCGUAAGGAAGACCAGUGGCGAAGGCGGGUCUCUGGACAGUUCCUGACGCUGAGGCACGAAGGUCAGGGGAGCAAACGGG
rnacentral:rRNA from 1 species